UUAAGCGACUAAGCGUACACGGUGGAUGCCCUGGCAGUCAGAGGCGAUGAAGGACGUGCUAAUCUGCGAAAAGCGUCGGUAAGGUGAUAUGAACCGUUACAGCCGGCGAUGUCCGAAUGGGGAAACCCAGUGUGAUUCGUCACACUAUCGUUAACUGAAUACAUAGGUUAACGAGGCGAACCGGGGGAACUGAAACAUCUAAGUACCCCGAGGAAAAGAAAUCAACCGAGAUUCCCCCAGUAGCGGCGAGCGAACGGGGAGCAGCCCAGAGUCUGAAUCAGCUUGUGUGUUAGUGGAACGGUCUGGAAAGUCCGACGGUACAGGGUGAUAGUCCCGUACACCAAAAUGCACAGGCUGUGAACUCGAAGAGUAGGGCGGGACACGUGGUAUCCUGUCUGAAUAUGGGGGGACCAUCCUCCAAGGCUAAAUACUCCUGACUGACCGAUAGUGAACCAGUACCGUGAGGGAAAGGCGAAAAGAACCCCGGCGAGGGGAGUGAAAAAGAACCUGAAACCGUGUACGUACAAGCAGUGGGAGCACCUUCGGGUGUGACUGCGUACCUUUUGUAUAAUGGGUCAGCGACUUAUAUUCUGUAGCAAGGUUAACCGUAUAGGGGAGCCGCAGGGAAACCGAGUCUUAACUGGGCGUUAAGUUGCAGGGUAUAGACCCGAAACCCGGUGAUCUAGCCAUGGGCAGGUUGAAGGUUGGGUAACACUAACUGGAGGACCGAACCGACUAAUGUUGAAAAAUUAGCGGAUGACUUGUGGCUGGGGGUGAAAGGCCAAUCAAACCGGGAGAUAGCUGGUUCUCCCCGAAAGCUAUUUAGGUAGCGCCUCGUGAACUCAUCUUCGGGGGUAGAGCACUGUUUCGGCUAGGGGGUCAUCCCGACUUACCAACCCGAUGCAAACUACGAAUACCGAAGAAUGUUAUCACGGGAGACACACGGCGGGUGCUAACGUCCGUCGUGAAGAGGGAAACAACCCAGACCGCCAGCUAAGGUCCCAAAGUCAUGGUUAAGUGGGAAACGAUGUGGGAAGGCACAGACAGCCAGGAUGUUGGCUUAGAAGCAGCCAUCAUUUAAAGAAAGCGUAAUAGCUCACUGGUCGAGUCGGCCUGCGCGGAAGAUGUAACGGGGCUAAACCAUGCACCGAAGCUGCGGCAGCGACACUAUGUGUUGUUGGGUAGGGGAGCGUUCUGUAAGCCUGCGAAGGUGUGCUGUGAGGCAUGCUGGAGGUAUCAGAAGUGCGAAUGCUGACAUAAGUAACGAUAAAGCGGGUGAAAAGCCCGCUCGCCGGAAGACCAAGGGUUCCUGUCCAACGUUAAUCGGGGCAGGGUGAGUCGACCCCUAAGGCGAGGCCGAAAGGCGUAGUCGAUGGGAAACAGGUUAAUAUUCCUGUACUUGGUGUUACUGCGAAGGGGGGACGGAGAAGGCUAUGUUAGCCGGGCGACGGUUGUCCCGGUUUAAGCAUGUAGGCUGGUUAUCCAGGCAAAUCCGGAUAAUCAAGGCUGAGGUGUGAUGACGAGGCACUACGGUGCUGAAGUAACAAAUGCCCUGCUUCCAGGAAAAGCCUCUAAGCAUCAGGUAACAUCAAAUCGUACCCCAAACCGACACAGGUGGUCAGGUAGAGAAUACCAAGGCGCUUGAGAGAACUCGGGUGAAGGAACUAGGCAAAAUGGUGCCGUAACUUCGGGAGAAGGCACGCUGGUGUGUAGGUGAAGCCCCUGCGGGUGGAGCUGAGACCAGUCGAAGAUACCAGCUGGCUGCAACUGUUUAUUAAAAACACAGCACUGUGCAAACACGAAAGUGGACGUAUACGGUGUGACGCCUGCCCGGUGCCGGAAGGUUAAUUGAUGGGGUUAUCCGUAAGGAGAAGCUCUUGAUCGAAGCCCCGGUAAACGGCGGCCGUAACUAUAACGGUCCUAAGGUAGCGAAAUUCCUUGUCGGGUAAGUUCCGACCUGCACGAAUGGCGUAAUGAUGGCCAGGCUGUCUCCACCCGAGACUCAGUGAAAUUGAACUCGCUGUGAAGAUGCAGUGUACCCGCGGCAAGACGGAAAGACCCCGUGAACCUUUACUAUAGCUUGACACUGAACAUUGAGCCUUGAUGUGUAGGAUAGGUGGGAGGCUUUGAAGCGUGGACGCCAGUCUGCGUGGAGCCAACCUUGAAAUACCACCCUUUAAUGUUUGAUGUUCUAACGUUGGCCCCUUACCGGGGUUGCGGACAGUGUCUGGUGGGUAGUUUGACUGGGGCGGUCUCCUCCCAAAGCGUAACGGAGGAGCACGAAGGUUAGCUAAUCCUGGUCGGACAUCAGGAGGUUAGUGCAAUGGCAUAAGCUAGCUUGACUGCGAGCGUGACGGCGCGAGCAGGUGCGAAAGCAGGUCAUAGUGAUCCGGUGGUUCUGAAUGGAAGGGCCAUCGCUCAACGGAUAAAAGGUACUCCGGGGAUAACAGGCUGAUACCGCCCAAGAGUUCAUAUCGACGGCGGUGUUUGGCACCUCGAUGUCGGCUCAUCACAUCCUGGGGCUGAAGUAGGUCCCAAGGGUAUGGCUGUUCGCCAUUUAAAGUGGUACGCGAGCUGGGUUUAGAACGUCGUGAGACAGUUCGGUCCCUAUCUGCCGUGGGCGCUGGAGAAUUGAGGGGGGCUGCUCCUAGUACGAGAGGACCGGAGUGGACGCAUCACUGGUGUUCGGGUUGUCAUGCCAAUGGCACUGCCCGGUAGCUAAAUGCGGAAGAGAUAAGUGCUGAAAGCAUCUAAGCACGAAACUUGCCCCGAGAUGAGUUCUCCCUGAGACUUUAAGUCUCCUGAAGGAACGUUAAAGACGAUGACGUUGAUAGGCCGGGUGUGUAAGCGCAGCGAUGCGUUGAGCUAACCGGUACUAAUGAACCGUGAGGCUUAACCUU
rnacentral:rRNA from 3 species